rnacentral:rRNA from 1 species
ACGCUGGCGGCGUGCUUAACACAUGCAAGUCGAACGGAAAGGCCCUGCUUUUGUGGGGUGCUCGAGUGGCGAACGGGUGAGUAACACGUGAGUAACCUGCCCUUGACUUUGGGAUAACUUCAGGAAACUGGGGCUAAUACCGGAUAGGAGCUCCUGCUGCAUGGUGGGGGUUGGAAAGUUUCGGCGGUUGGGGAUGGACUCGCGGCUUAUCAGCUUGUUGGUGGGGUAGUGGCUUACCAAGGCUUUGACGGGUAGCCGGCCUGAGAGGGUGACCGGCCACAUUGGGACUGAGAUACGGCCCAGACUCCUACGGGAGGCAGCAGUGGGGAAUAUUGCACAAUGGGCGGAAGCCUGAUGCAGCAACGCCGCGUGCGGGAUGACGGCCUUCGGGUUGUAAACCGCUUUCGCCUGUGACGAAGCGUGAGUGACGGUAAUGGGUAAAGAAGCACCGGCUAACUACGUGCCAGCAGCCGCGGUGAUACGUAGGGUGCGAGCGUUGUCCGGAUUUAUUGGGCGUAAAGGGCUCGUAGGUGGUUGAUCGCGUCGGAAGUGUAAUCUUGGGGCUUAACCCUGAGCGUGCUUUCGAUACGGGUUGACUUGAGGAAGGUAGGGGAGAAUGGAAUUCCUGGUGGAGCGGUGGAAUGCGCAGAUAUCAGGAGGAACACCAGUGGCGAAGGCGGUUCUCUGGGCCUUUCCUGACGCUGAGGAGCGAAAGCGUGGGGAGCGAACAGGCUUAGAUACCCUGGUAGUCCACGCUGUAAACGGUGGGUACUAGGUGUGGGGUCCAUUCCACGGGUUCCGUGCCGUAGCUAACGCUUUAAGUACCCCGCCUGGGGAGUACGGCCGCAAGGCUAAAACUCAAAGGAAUUGACGGGGCCCCGCACAAGCGGCGGAGCAUGCGGAUUAAUUCGAUGCAACGCGUAGAACCUUACCUGGGUUUGACAUGGAUCGGGAGCGCUCAGAGAUGGGUGUGCCUCUUUUGGGGUCGGUUCACAGGUGGUGCAUGGCUGUCGUCAGCUCGUGUCGUGAGAUGUUGGGUUAAGUCCCGCAACGAGCGCAACCCUUGUUCACUGUUGCCAGCACGUUAUGGUGGGGACUCAGUGGAGACCGCCGGGGUCAACUCGGAGGAAGGUGGGGAUGACGUCAAGUCAUCAUGCCCCUUAUGUCCAGGGCUUCACGCAUGCUACAAUGGCUGGUACAGAGAGUGGCGAGCCUGUGAGGGUGAGCGAAUCUCGGAAAGCCGGUCUCAGUUCGGAUUGGGGUCUGCAACUCGACCUCAUGAAGUCGGAGUCGCUAGUAAUCGCAGAUCAGCAACGCUGCGGUGAAUACGUUCCCGGGGCUUGUACACACCGCCCGUCAAGUCAUGAAAGUUGGUAACACCCGAAGCCGGUGGCCUAACCGUUGUGGGGGAGCCGUCGAAGGUGGGACUGGUGAUU